UCUUAAACACUGCCCCCGUGAAAGCUCU
rnacentral:piRNA from 1 species